rnacentral:rRNA from 1 species
GUUUUAAUCGAUGGGGGGACGCAGUAGGAUAGGCGAAGCGUACGAUUGGAUUGUACGUCUAAGCAGUGAGAUUGAGUGUUAGGCAAAUCCGGCACUCUUAAGAUUGAGCUGUGAUGGGGAGAGGAAAUUGUUUCCUCGAGUCGUUGAUUUCACACUGCCGAGAAAAGCCUCUAGAUAGAGAUUAGGUGCCCGUACCGCAAACCGACACAGGUAGUCAAGAUGAGAAUUCUAAGGUGAGCGAGCGAACUCUCGUUAAGGAACUCGGCAAAAUGACCCCGUAACUUCGGGAGAAGGGGUGCUCUUUAGGGUGCAAGCCCAGAAGAGCCGCAGUGAAUAGGCCCAAGCGACUGUUUAUCAAAAACACAGGUCUCUGCUAAACCGUAAGGUGAUGUAUAGGGGCUGACGCCUGCCCGGUGCUGGAAGGUUAAGAGGAGUGGUUAGCUUCUGCGAAGCUACGAAUCGAAGCCCCAGUAAACGGCGGCCGUAACUAUAACGGUCCUAAGGUAGCGAAAUUCCUUGUCGGGUAAGUUCCGACCCGCACGAAAGGCGUAACGAUUUGGGCACUGUCUCAACGAGAGACUCGGUGAAAUCAUAGUACCUGUGAAGAUGCAGGUUACCCGCGACAGGACGGAAAGACCCCGUGGAGCUUUACUGUAGCCUGAUAUUGAAAUUCGGCACAGCUUGUACAGGAUAGGUAGGAGCCUUUGAAACGUGAGCGCUAGCUUACGUGGAGGCGUUGGUGGGAUACUACCCUAGCUGUGUUGGCUUUCUAACCC